rnacentral:rRNA from 1 species
GACAGAGGGUGCAAACGUUGUUCGGAAUUACUGGGCGUAAAGCGCGUGUAGGCGGCUAAGUAAGUCGGGCGUGAAAUCCCACGGCUCAACCGUGGAAGUGCACUCGAAACUGCGUAGCUAGAGUCCUGGAGAGGAAGGUGGAAUGCUUGGUGUAGAGGUGAAAUUCGUAGAUAUCAAGCGGAACACCGGUGGCGAAGGCGGCCUUCUGGACAGAGACUGACGCUGAGACGCGAAAGCGUGGGGAGCAAACAGG